rnacentral:rRNA from 1 species
CAUGCAAGUUGAACGAUGAACCUGGAGCUUGCUCUGAGGGAUUAGUGGCGAACGGGUGAGUAACACGUGAGCAACCUGCCCCUCACUCUGGGAUAAGCGCUGGAAACGGCGUCUAAUACUGGAUACGAGUUGGAGCCGCAUGGUUACCAACUGGAAAGAUUUUUUGGUGGGGGAUGGGCUCGCGGCCUAUCAGCUUGUUGGUGAGGUAAUGGCUCACCAAGGCGUCGACGGGUAGCCGGCCUGAGAGGGUGACCGGCCACACUGGGACUGAGACACGGCCCAGACUCCUACGGGAGGCAGCAGUGGGGAAUAUUGCACAAUGGGCGGAAGCCUGAUGCAGCAACGCCGCGUGAGGGAUGACGGCCUUCGGGUUGUAAACCUCUUUUAGCAGGGAAGAAGCGAAAGUGACGGUACCUGCAGAAAAAGCACCGGCUAACUACGUGCCAGCAGCCGCGGUAAUACGUAGGGUGCAAGCGUUAUCCGGAAUUAUUGGGCGUAAAGAGCUCGUAGGCGGUUUGUCGCGUCUGCUGUGAAAUCCCGAGGCUCAACCUCGGGCCUGCAGUGGGUACGGGCAGACUAGAGUGCGGUAGGGGAGAUUGGAAUUCCUGGUGUAGCGGUGGAAUGCGCAGAUAUCAGGAGGAACACCGAUGGCGAAGGCAGAUCUCUGGGCCGUAACUGACGCUGAGGAGCGAAAGGGUGGGGAGCAAACAGGCUUAGAUACCCUGGUAGUCCACCCCGUAAACGUUGGGAACUAGUUGUGGGGUCCUUUCCACGGAUUCCGUGACGCAGCCUAAC